GUAGUCUUAUAGCAGUUGACCAAUUUAAUCGACUUGAGACGGAGACUCGACUAUUGUUAAAUUCGUCGAUGAAAAUUGAAAAGGAUUGCAGAGAUAAAGGCCUGCAACUACGAGCGAGAGUGGACGUGGCUCUCCAGCCAGCUCCAGGAUUUCAACUGGAUUUCUCCCAUCUGAGUUGGGGUGUGGUAGGCAGUGGGAUCCCAAAUAAAGAGAACAAGUCCCUCCACAGUGAGCCUCGCCCCCUCACGUUCCCUGGCCCCACUGCCAGUCCAAUACCACACCCGCUCAGCAACGACAAGCUGCUUAUCGUCACGGAUGUGCCACCACCAUCUAUCUCCAUCAGGCGCCUCGCUCGUAGACCUGCACGGCGAACUCCCCCCAGUGGCGUCAGUUCCAGCAAGAAGUGAUCUAGCUGAUAUAUCGACUUUGGAAAUGGUUCAAAUUAUGUUUCGACCCCCUCUUACACAUUGGCACUACCCGACCGACCCAUGGAACAAUGUAGCCAUUUGGAAAGACAUCG